GAUGAACGCUGGCGGCGUGCCUAAUACAUGCAAGUCGAGCGAACAGAUGAGAAGCUUGCUUCUCUGAUGUUAGCGGCGGACGGGUGAGUAACACGUGGGUAACCUACCUAUAAGACUGGGAUAACUCCGGGAAACCGGGGCUAAUACCGGAUAAUAUUUUGAACCGCAUGGUUCAAUAGUGAAAGACGGUUUCGGCUGUCACUUAUAGAUGGACCCGCGCCGUAUUAGCUAGUUGGUAAGGUAACGGCUUACCAAGGCGACGAUACGUAGCCGACCUGAGAGGGUGAUCGGCCACACUGGAACUGAGACACGGUCCAGACUCCUACGGGAGGCAGCAGUAGGGAAUCUUCCGCAGUGGGCGAAAGCCUGACGGAGCAACGCCGCGUGAGUGAUGAAGGUCUUCGGAUCGUAAAACUCUGUUGUUAGGGAAGAACAAAUUUGUUAGUAACUGAACAAGUCUUGACGGUUCCUAACCAGAAAGCCACGGCUAACUACGUGCCAGCCGCCGCAGUAA
rnacentral:rRNA from 1 species